rnacentral:rRNA from 1 species
AAAUCCUGUCGGCUGACGCGAUGGUGGUGUUGCUUAAUGGCGUCAUGCCGCAGGCGAUGCCGCUUUGUUGCGCGCAACAGAUCACGCCGUUGCUGAAUUCUGUUGACCAGGUGAUGGCGU